rnacentral:ncRNA from 1 species
UGAAAGGCGUUGACGAGAAACAUCAAUUCCGUUUCGUAGGUAGAGAGCUGCUGGUUGGUGAAAAGCAGUGUACGAGCGAAGGCGAUGAUCAUCUCUGAGCUACGUGCCGAAACCCUCGGGUGCAUCACACUCGGGAUGGAAGUAGAACACGUUGGGUGCACCCAUUAUCGUGCCAAGCGUAUCGCAGUAAUGCCGUACGUGAGAGGUAAUUUCAGAAAUGAGAUUAUAAAAUAAGGUGGUACCACGUGAAAGCGUCCUUAAU